rnacentral:rRNA from 1 species
UUGCACCUACGGGAGGCAGCAGUGAGGAAUAUUGGUCAAUGGACGAGAGUCUGAACCAGCCAAGUCGCGUGAGGGAAGACUGCCCUAUGGGUUGUAAACCUCUUUUGUCAGGGAGCAACGCCGGCUACGUGUAGCCGGACUGAGAGUACCUGAAGAAAAAGCAUCGGCUAACUCCGUGCCAGCAGCCGCGGUAAUACGGAGGAUGCGAGCGUUAUCCGGAUUUAUUGGGUUUAAAGGGUGCGUAGGCGGAAUGCCAAGUCAGCGGUAAAAUCGCGGGG